GGGGCUGAUUCUGGAUUCGACGGGAUUUGCGAAACCCAAGGUGCAUGCCGAGGGGCGGUUGGCCUCGUAAAAAGCCGCAAAAAAAUAGUCGCAAACGACGAAACCUACGCUUUAGCAGCUUAAUAACCUGCUUAGAGCCCUCUCUCCCUAGCCUCCGCUCUUAGGACGGGGAUCAAGAGAGGUCAAACCCAAAAGAGAUCGCGUGGAUGCCCUGCCUGGGGUUGAAGCGCUAAAACGAAUCAGGCUAGUCUGGUAGUGGCGUGUCCGUCCGCAGGUGCCAGGCGAAUGUAAAGACUGACUAAGCAUGUAGUACCGAGGAUGUAGGAAUUUCGGACGCGGGUUCAACUCCCGCCAGCUCCACCA
rnacentral:tmRNA from 1 species